rnacentral:tRNA from 13 species
AAUGAUGGAAUUGGUAGACAUGCUAGGUUUAGGUUCUAGUUUUUAAAAAAGUGUGGGUUCGAGUCCCUCUUUUGGC